rnacentral:rRNA from 1 species
UAGUGAGUUUGAUCCUGGCUCAGGACGAACGCUAGCGGCAGGCCUAAUACAUGCAAGUCGAACGGUCUCAGCAAUGGGAUAGUGGCAAACGGGUGCGUAACGCGUAAAUAACCUGCCCCAAACUGGGAGAUAGCUUUGCGAAAGCGGAGGUAAUACCCCAUAGUCUGGCUGGAUCACCUGGUCUGGUCAGUAAAGCAGCGAUGUGGUUUGGGAGGGAUUUGCGUGACAUUAGCUAGUUGGCGGGGUAACGGCCCACCAAGGCGACGAUGUCUAGGGGACCUGAGAGGGUGAUCCCCCACACUGGCACUGAGAUACGGGGCCAGACUCCUACGGGAGGCAGCAGUAGGGAAUAUUGGGGCAAU